UACGAAGGGGGCUAGCGUUGUUCGGAAUCACUGGGCGUAAAGGGUGCGUAGGCGGUCGCGCAAAUCGGAUGUGAAAUCUUGGGGCUCAACCCCGAAACUGCAUUCGAUACUGCGUGGCUCGAGUACUGGAGAGGAGACUGGAAUUUACGGUGUAGCAGUGAAAUGCGUAGAUAUCGUAAGGAAGACCAGUGGCGAAGGCGAGUCUCUGGACAGUUACUGACGCUGAGGCACGAAGGCCAGGGGAGCAAACGGG
rnacentral:rRNA from 1 species